CAGCCGCCGCGGUAAUACGUAGGUGGCAAGCGUUGUCCGGAAUUAUUGGGCGUAAAGCGCGCGCAGGCGGAUAGGUCAGCCUGUCUUAAAAGUUCGGGGCUUAACCCCGUGAUGGGAUGGAAACUGCCAAUCUAGAGUAUCGGAGAGGAAAGUGAAAUUCCUAGUGUAGCGGUGAAAUGCGUAGAUAUUAGGAAGAACACCAGUGGCGAAGGCGACUUUCUGGACGAAAACUGACGCUGAGGCGCAAAAGCCAGGGGAGCGAACGGGAUUAGAUACCCCCGUAGUCCCUGUCUCUUAUACA
rnacentral:rRNA from 1 species